AGCAGCCGCGGUAAUUCCAGCUCCAAUAGCGUAUAUUAAAGUUGUUGCAGUUAAAAAGCUCGUAGUUGAAUUUCGGGAUCAAUUUAUUGGUCGUGCAAUAGUACGUACUGGUAUUAUUGGUUCCUACCUUCUGAUGAACCAUGAUGUCAUUAAUUUGGUGUUAUGGGGAAUCAGGACUGUUACUUUGAAAAAUUAGAGUGUUUAAAGCAGGCUCACGCUUGAAUACAUUAGCAUGGAAUAAUGAAAUAGGACGUUUGAUUCUAUUUUGUUGGUUUCUAGGAUCGACGUAAUGAUUAAUAGGGAUAGUUGGGGGCAUUAGUAUUCAAUUGUCAGAGGUGAAAUUCUUGGAUUUAUUGAAGACUAACUACUGCGAAAGCAUUUGCCAAGGAUGUUUUCAUUAAUCAAGAACGAAAGUUAGGGGAUCGAAGACGAUCAGAUACCGUCGUAGUC
rnacentral:rRNA from 1 species